rnacentral:rRNA from 1 species
AGUGAACGCUGGCGGCAGGCCUAAUACAUGCAAGUCGAACGGCAGCACAGUGGAGCUUGCUCCAUGGGUGGCGAGUGGCGGACGGGUGAGGAAUACAUGGGAAUCUGCCCAGUCGUGGGGAUAACGUAUGGAAACGUACGCUAAUACCGCAUGCGCCCUUCGGGGGAAAGUCGGGGACCGCAAGGCCUGACGCGAUUGGAUGAGCCCAUGUUCGAUUAGCUAGUUGGCGGGUAACGGCCCACCAAGGCGACGAUCGAUAGCUGGUCUGAGAGGAUGAUCAGCCACACUGGAACUGAGACACGGUCCAGACUCCUACGGGAGGCAGCAGUAGGGAAUAGUUGGACAAUGGGCGCAAGCCUGAUCCAGCCAUGCCGCGUGAGUGAAGAAGGCCCUCGGGUUGUAAAGCUCUUUGUUGGGAAGAAAGCAGUUGUAAUACCCGAUUAGUUCUGACGGUACCCAAAGAAUAAGCACCGGCUAACUUCGUGCCAGCAGCCG